CCUUAACCUGCUAAAUAGCCAGGCCCGCUUUUGCGGGUCGCCGGCUUCUUAGAGGGACUAUCGGAUUUCAAGUCGAUGGAAGUUUGAGGCAAUAACAGGUCUGUGAUGCCCUUAGAUGCCCUGGGCCGCACGCGCGCUACACUGUUGCAUACAGCGAGUUUUUACCUUAACCGAUAGGUUUGGGUAAUCUUUCAAUGUGCAACGUGCUGGGGAUAGAUUAUUGCAAUUAUUAAUCUUGAACGAGGAAUUCCUAGUAAACGCAAGUCAUCAGCUUGCAUUGAAUACGUCCCUGCCCUUUGUACACACCGCCCGUCGCUACUACCGAUUGAAUGGCUUAGUGAGGCUUCCGGACCGUUUAGUGGAGGUCGGCAACGACCACCACCAGAUGGGAAGCUAGUCAAACUUGGUCAUUUAGAGGAAGUAAAAGUCG
rnacentral:rRNA from 1 species